rnacentral:lncRNA from 1 species
GUCUGAGGAAAUCUACGAGUAGUAGUAACUUUCUUGUGUUAAUGUUUGUUUCUCUGUAAUUUAUUCCUACUGGGACCAGUUGGACCUUCUUCUUUAUGUCUACAUCUAUAUCAAAAUAUUGUCUAACUCAAGAUAAUCAGUGCACUGUGGUGAAUACUGACUUGUACUGAGAAAUCUCUCCAGUGUCUGGUGGGGAUAUCCUAUUGCACUGCACAGGGCAAUUGAGAAAACUGGAUUUUGAAAGGAUUAUGUUUCUUCCCUCUUUCUACAAUGCUGCUAGCAGUGCAGAUUCCUGUAUUGUGCAAAGUACAUGGAACUCCAAAAAAGGCUGGCAGCAUCAUGGUGGAAGGGGACAUUGCUGGGAACAAGGUUGUUCUGGGAGGAGAAACUCCAUAACAGAGGAGGUGUGUCUCAGAGGGUCUGUGGCUCUGGGACAGGAUCACCCUGGAGGGACUGUGGCUGGGGGUAACCCAUGCUGCAACAUCAGAAAAGGAGAGGUGAAGAGUGGCUUGCAGAAGCUGUUAUGACCCUGCCUUGAUUGUCACAUCCCUGAAGGAGCUAGAGGAACUGACCAUAACCCUCAACAAAAGCAAAGUGAUGCUGAGGCUCGGAAGAGGGGAGGAGAGGUGCUUGCCUAAAGCUGAACCAGGGAAGUGUUCAUUUAAUUGUUUGCUUUUGUGUUUUGUUGUUGUUCUUGUUGUCUGUUUCCUUCCUUCAAUAUCCAAAAGGGUGAUCAAAAGUUUUGUCUAAUUGUCAGUAAUUAAACAAAGUAAAAUACCCCAAGAUAAGACUGUUUUCCUGCAACACUCAGUACAGCACAUAUGUCUCCUUGGGUUUUAGCAUGUCCACAUUCAGAUGCCAUUCAGUAAAAAGGGGUGAAUAUAAUUAUUCUUUUAUUCAGAUGUUCCUAAAAGAAGCUCUUGAAGCUCUUUUUUUUUUUUUUCCCAAACACUUUAAAAAA